UACGUAGGUGGCAAGCGUUAUCCGGAAUUAUUGGGCGUAAAGCGCUCGCAGGCGGUUUCUUAAGUCUGAUGUGAAAGCCCACGGCUCAACCGUGGAGGGUCAUUGGAAACUGGUAGACUAGAGUACAGCAGAGGAUAGCGGAAUUCCCGGUGUAGUGGUGAAAUGCGUAUAUAUCGGGAGGAACACCAGUGGCGAAGGCGGCUAUCUGGGCUGAAACUGACGCUGAGGCGCGAAGGCUAGGGGAGCAAACAGG
rnacentral:rRNA from 1 species